rnacentral:lncRNA from 1 species
UUAUUAUUAUUUUACUCUCUACCGUCGGAGCUACUGCCGGAGUUAGUGACUCGCCGUUACAUAAAAGCUUCGACUCCCAAUCUCUUUCGUUCUAUUCUAAAACCCAUUCCUCCCUUACCCGUUUAGUCCUCUCACCGUUAAACUUAAAAUCCAAGCCCUGUAUUUCCUCGUCCUCAUCAUCACCGGCGGCAUCACAUGGACAGUCAAAGCCCAAGCCCUAAAUCGCCACCUUCAUCGUCUGAGAGUCAAUCGGCAAUCCCAUCUCUGAAGAGUCAAUAUCCGCCAUGAAAGAGUCAAAGUCCAAAUGUUUCUCGUUUCUGUAAAUCCGGCUACUUCAUCAGACUCUUACCGUGAUUAAACACACUAUUCCCAUACACAAACAGUUUAUGGAUUUCAGGUUUGCUUUCAUCUGAAGAGUCAAUUUUGAUUUUAGGUUUGAUUUCAGGAUUUGUAUAGAUUUAUGGACCCAUCUUCUUCCUGGGAUUGUUUGAGAAUUUUUUGGGAUUGUUCUUAUGGUUUAGAUUUAUAGAAACGAAAAACGAAAAUCGAUGAACAAUUGGAUUUAUAGAAAACGAAAAUUCUUUCUGGGAUUGUUUGAGAUUUUUUUGGGAAUUUUCUUCCAGCAGUUUUUCUUCGACCUCAUGGACCAGAAUCGCAAUAAAAUCAUAGGUCCGAGUGCAAAAUAAAAGUUAGGGUAAUUUUUACGAAAUCAUAGGACGAACUAUGAUUUCAGUAAUUUAGUCUAAUAAUAAUAAUAAUUAAUAAGCAAUGUGGAAAUGAAUUUAUUAAGUAUUUGAAAAUACCUUUUAUUGUCUAUGUAUUGAACUACAGCAAGGAGUUUGUAUCCUGCAAUGUUUUCAACUGCAAGAUUGAUGAGAGUGGCAAUGAGACCAGUUAAUAGCCCGACUAGGAAAGCCAAUAACCAUUUAAGGAAUAUAUACUGCAACACUUGCGCUUGCGAUCUGCUUCUCCAAUCGUGCUUGAACAGAUCAUUCUCAUUGAUCCUGCAAAAAAAAAAAAAAAUUAUUUAUUUCAUAAAAAAAAAAAAAAGAAACUCUUGUUUCAUGAAGACAAAAUCUGUAAUGACAACUUACUCAUAAUCCAAGCUUUCGAUAUAG